rnacentral:rRNA from 1 species
GACAGAGGUCCCGAGCGUUAGGCGGAAUCACUGGGCUUAAAGCGUGUGUAGGCGGCGGCCUAAGUACCUUGUGAAAUCCCACGGCUCACCCGUGGAACUGCUCGGUAUACUGGGUCGCUUGAGCCACUUAGGGGCUACCGGAACAAAUGGUGGAGCGGUGAAAUGCGUAGAUAUCAUUUGGAACGCCAAUGGUGAAAACAGGCUGCUGGGGUUGCGCCGACGCUGAGACACGAAAGCCAGGGGAGCAAACGGG